UGAGGAAUAUUGGACAAUGGGCGAGAGCCUGAUCCAGCCAUGCCGCGUGGAGGAAGACGACCCUACGGGUUGUAAACUUCUUUUAUACGGGAAGAAUAAGAGCUACGUGUAGCUUGAUGACGGUACCGUAUGAAUAAGCAUCGGCUAACUCCGUGCCAGCAGCCGCGGUAAUACGGAGGAUGCAAGCGUUAUCCGGAAUCAUUGGGUUUAAAGGGUCCGUAGGCGGAUAAGUCAGUCAGUGGUGAAAGGUUGCAGCUUAACUGUAGAACUGCCAUUGAUACUGCUUAUCUUGAGUGACUAUGAAGUGGUUAGAAUAUGUAGUGUAGCGGUGAAAUGCAUAGAUAUUACAUAGAAUACCGAUUGCGAAGGCAGAUCACUAAUAGUCAACUGACGCUGAUGGACGAAAGCGUGGGUAGCGAACGGG
rnacentral:rRNA from 1 species